CACGUUACCUGGCAUGGGAGAUACUGCGAUCGCGAAAGUGGUUUUCCAGGGCGAGGCUUAUCCAAUGCAUUUUGGAUGUGCAGACCCCUGUGAUUUCCUCAAAUUUGGGGAAACCCAAUGCAUGAUUUGUGGUAGUAGGGGACUGUGUUCAUGCUCUUCCCUA
rnacentral:snRNA from 1 species